AGAAUGCACCCUGUUUUUGGUAGUCCUGAGUUACUACAGGAUUUUAAACGGGAAGUUGGUGCGUACUGCUUUUUUAGCAAGCUUUUUUUAGCAGACUUUUUUUAGCAAGCAAUGCCAACACUGCCCCCGCAACGGUAAUCGAGUUAAAACAUUACAUAAGCCACUGUGUUUUACAUGGGAAGGCGUAAUGUUGGGAUACCCAUCCACUCGUAAGUCCGGAGACCGGCCCAAAACACGACAAGUCG
rnacentral:ncRNA from 2 species